rnacentral:tRNA from 3072 species
GCGCGAUUAGCUCAGCGGGAGAGCGCUUCCCUGACACGGAAGAGGUCACUGGUUCAAUCCCAGUAUCGCGCACCA